AGCACAAGAACAAAUACAAGAAAUCAACUAUGGCACAUUGUUAACAUAGAUCCACAACAAGGGCAAUGAAAUUCCACAACUAGCAACAACAAUUUCCUCAUGCUCAUCAGAUUGGUGCACAAUUUAGAUCAUUACAAUAGUUAUUCACAACUAGUCACACAUGUUGUUCCACAAUAUUUCCAUUUCCAUUGUUCCACAUUAUUACCAUUUCUGUUGUUCCACAUUGUUUCCAAUUCCAUUGUUCCACAUUAUUCCCAUUUUCCGUUGUUCCAAUUACGAGUUCCAAAACAACCACCACAAAGUGUUACCACACAAUUAUACCACGCAAAUGCUCCACAAUGAUUCUCACAUGAAUGUCAACUAUCAAUAAUUUCACAACUGGCAUAGGGCGAUUUCACAAGAAUCAAAGUUAGCCAUACAUACCUGGAGUUGAGUUUUCCCCUUUAAACCUUUAGUCCGAUUUUCCAAGAAAUCAAGAAGUCAAUAUAGUUCAUGAGCAACACUUCGGUUUUAGAAAUAUAAGCUCAUAGUUAC
rnacentral:lncRNA from 1 species